GCUUACGGACACACCACCCUGAACACGCCCUGAACCAAGCAGGGUCGGGCCUGGUUAGUACCUGUAAGCU
rnacentral:rRNA from 1 species